rnacentral:SRP_RNA from 1 species
UCGAAACUGCCCUGUCCAACGCUUCGGUACGCAAAGUCGGCUGGCCGUAGGGCCGGACGUCUUGGGGUAAUAAUGAGCCGGGGAAAGCGCGAGAGUGGUGACACAGCAGCGAGGACUGGUCGCCGUGGUGAGUGGAAGGAUGACUGAGUCG